UUACCAGGGUUUGACAUGCAAGUGGUAGGAGGCCGAAAGGUGACCGACCCUUCGGGGAGCUUGCACAGGUGCUGCAUGGCUGUCGUCAGCUCGUGUCGUGAGAUGUCGGGUUAAGUCCUUAACGAGCGAAACCCUUGCCGUUAGUUACCAGCGGGUCAUGCCGGGAACUCUAGCGGGACUGCCGGUGUUAAACCGGAGGAAGGUGGGGAUGACGUCAAGUCAUCAUGGCCUUUAUGCCUAGGGCAUCACACGUGCUACAAUGGCCGGGACAAAGCGACGCAAGACCGCGAGGUGGAGCUAAUCGCAAAAACCCGGCCCCAGUUCGGAUUGCAGGCUGGCAACUCGCCUGCAUGAAGUUGGAAUCGCUAGUAAUCAUGAAUCAGCUAUGUCACGGUGAAUGUGUUCCUGAGCCUU
rnacentral:rRNA from 1 species